rnacentral:rRNA from 1 species
CCAACAGGGAUUGCCUCAGUAACGGCGAGUGAAGCGGCAACAGCUCAAAUUUGAAAUCUGGCUCUUUCAGGGUCCGAGUUGUAAUUUGUAGAGGAUGCUUCGGGUGCGGCGCCUGUCUAAGUUCCUUGGAACAGGACGUCAUAGAGGGUGAGAAUCCCGUACGUGACCGGCGACCAAGCCCAUGUGAAGCUCCUUCGACGAGUCGAGUUGUUUGGGAAUGCAGCUCUAAUUGGGUGGUAAAUUUCAUCUAAAGCUAAAUACCGGCCAGAGACCGAUAGCGCACAAGUAGAGUGAUCGAAAGAUGAAAAGCACUUUGGAAAGAGAGUUAAAAAGUACGUGAAAUUGUUGAAAGGGAAGCGCUUGCAACCAGACUUGCUCGCGGGUGAUCAGCUGCGGUUCUCCGCAGUGCACUCACCCGUGAUCAGGCCAGCAUCGGUUUGGGCGGUUGGAUAAAGGCCCCGGGAAUGUAGCUCCCUCCGGGGAGUGUUAUAGCCCGGGGUGCAAUGCGGCCAGCCCGGACCGAGGACCGCGCUUCGGCUAGGAUGCUGGCGUAAUGGUUGUAAGCGACCCGUCUUGAAACA